rnacentral:rRNA from 1 species
UCUCCAGACUCCUACGGGAGGCAGCAGUGGGGGAUAUUGCACAAUGGGGGAAACCCUGAUGCAGCGACGCCGCGUGGGUGAAGAAGUAUUUCGGUAUGUAAAGCCCUAUCAGCAGGGAAGAAAGAAGACGGUACCUGACUAAGAAGCCCCGGCUAACUACGUGCCAGCAGCCGCGGUAAUACGUAGGGGGCGAGCGUUAUCCGGAUUCACUGGGUGUAAAGGGAGCGUAGACGGCCGUGCAAGCCAGGAGUGAAAGCCCGGGGCCCAACCCCGGGACUGCUCUUGGAACUGUGCGGCUGGAGUGCGGGAGGGGCAGGCGGAAUUCCUAGUGUAGCGGUGAAAUGCGUAGAUAUUAGGAGGAACACCAGUGGCGAAGGCGGCUUACUGGACGAUGACUGACGCUGAGGCUCGAAAGCGUGGGGAGCAAACAGGAUUAGAUACCCCAGUAAG